ACCUAGUAAAUCAGUCUUUAAUUACUCGCCAGGGGACAACGAACUUAUGAUCUUACCUAUAAAAGUAAAAUUAUUGUUUAAAACCCAAAGGACUUGGCGGUGCUUCAUACCCCCCUAGAGGAGCCUGUUUUAGAAUCGAUACCCCCCGCUAAACCUCACCUUUUCUCGCAUACCCAGCCUGUAUACCGCCGUCGUCAGUUUACCUUAUGAAGGAAAAAUAGUGAGCAAAAUUGUAAUUAAGCCAGCAUGACAGGUCAAGGUGCAGCCAAUGAAAAGGGAUUAAAUGGGCUACAUUUACUGGCACAGUAAACUUACGGAAGCUUGUCAUGAAACAACAGCUCGAAGGAGGAUUUAGUAGUAAGAAAAGAAUAGAGAGCUUUCCUGAACCACCUAAGGCUCUGAAGCGCGUACACACCGCCCCGUUCACCCUCAA
rnacentral:rRNA from 1 species